rnacentral:lncRNA from 1 species
CUUAAGCUCAUGGUCCACAAGUAUAAUUCAAGGUGUCUGUGAACUUGAAUUGUGUAAUGUGGCCAUAAAUACUUUAAAGUUUCUUCCAUUGAGACAUGGAGCUUAAUUCUCCUUUUCUCACUCUGUCAAAGAUUUAGUGAUUUGCUUGACCAAUAGAUUAUGGUGUAAACGACAUUGAGUCUCCUGAAGCUAGAUUAUAAGAGGACUUGCAGCUUUUGCCUAGGACGCUGAAGCUGAUCUUGAAAGGCUCCCUUUUGGAAUGCAGCCACCAUGAGAGGAGAAGUAAAGCUGAAUAACAGUCAACCUGUAGUAAGAGAAACUGACAAACAGCAUCUUUAUGACAUAUUGAUCACCAGGAAGACAAAACACAUCUGUAACUCAUGGUGGGCAUUGCUGAUGACUGCAACAGGGUCUCCUUUGGGAGUUACCAGGCCUCAGGAAAAGUCAGCGGAUACGAGCCCCAUCCUGCCUUUCCCAGGAAUCUUCUGCCUGCUGCCUCUCAGCCUCUACUGCUAUCAGUUCCUGCCACCUCAGAAGGGCAGCUCUGGAUAUACCGAACCCAUCUUUGGCAGUGGUUUCCUUCAUGGGCUUUGAUUCUCAUCCUCAAAGCUACCUCAUUCUACCCUGCCUACUUUCAGAUCUUCUGGAGUUCCAUACUAUGCUUGGGCUUCUAAGAAUCUUUCUGGUGUGGGAGUAAAUGGAUACUUGGACCGAAAAUUAAGGAUUUUUACAUAUUAUUAUUUUCAUUGACUUCCGUGUUUGUCACAAUGGAUGAGGACUGCAGUCUGUGCCCCUGGAGCCACCUUGAAACCUGGAACUUAGCACGGCACUUGAAAUAGGACCCACUCUUUUGUCUCUGGAUAUUUCUUUUAGUUAUUACUUCAACUUAACCAAAAUAAUUUAGUUACUUGUUACUAAACCAUAUUCCCUUCCGUUCCAUUUUGUUAUUUAAUUUCACAACAUUCUUACAAACUAUACAUUGAAUUUAACGUAUUUUAGAAAGAGGUACCAUUCUUAGUGGCAAUCAGACAUGAAACAUCACUUCCAUCAUGUUGAUUAUGGAAAACAAGACAUAAAUAAGGAGUUUUAUUACACGAUGUGUGAAAAACUUCAGAUUUUAAACUAGAUUUCUUUAUACUGUAUCACAUAAAUGAGACUUCCUAUAAGUAGUGAUUUACAUGUAUUUAUGUGGACAUGUAAGACACAGUAUCCAUAUUAAUUGGGAUUGUUAGAAUGUUUAUAUGUUUACUUUUAUAAUUUUUAUUGUUUCUAUUUUAGUUCAUAUCUAGAAUUUAUAUUUUUCAGAAAUAAUUCAAAUAUUCUUCAACAGGGUAAAUAUUUUUAGAUAUUAUUAUAGUAUACUUAAAGGAACUAUAUCUUUUAUUCUUUUUUAAUGAAUUUCACAUAUUACAUACCACAUUUUAAAAAUAUGAUUGAAUUGUGAAUUCCUUUCAUCCUUCUUUUAAUGACUAGGGUUUCAAAAAUAGACUUGUAAGUUGAUUGCUUUUUAAAUGAAUUUUAGUCAACCAUCUCCAAUUUGGUCUUUUAACUAAUAUAAUUAUUAAUUUGCUUCUUCUGAAUUACCAGUCAGUAAGUAAUUCAAAUAAGCAUUUGAGGAUCCUGUCUCCUGGGUCCAUCUAAGAAUCCCAAAUCCUUUUGAUGGUAACAUAUUUUAGCCCACACUUUAUCAUGGAGAUUUGCCAUGGGUACUAAGCAGGACAUCAUAAUGUCAAAUGUGUUAGUCCAAUGCAAGUCUCUUAAUCAAUUUACUGCCUUGGCUUAAGGCUACCUCUGGAUUCUCCUGUCAAGGAAAAAUUUUGCAUAAUUUGUGAUGUGGAAAUAUUUUACUUAAGCUGUUUAUAUAAUUCUGACUUUUUCCUUGGAGACUUGCUGUACAAGUUUUCUAUCCUUCCCUUCCUCUUUGAUCUAACGCUGUCAGAAAUUCAUUUACAUUUCAGACUCUCUGGUUAAAUACAUGUCCUUUGGGUUAUGAAGAAUUGUGAAAUGACAGAAUUGGACAUAAAUGUAUAAAUUUCAUGAUCUAUUGAAGUAUCGGUUACUUCAUUUCAUCCACUUAUUUUAAGUGCUUGUCUAUUAUGUGUGUUGUAUAUGUGUGUGCAUAUAUAUAUAGAUAUAAAUUUAUAUACUUGUGUGCACAUAUGCACACACAUUUAAAAAUAUAUACACAAAAUUGGGAUGCCUUAUUUUCAAAAAUACCCAUAUGGUGAAAUUCCUUACUAAUGUCAAUUAUUGAAAGAGUGUUUUAACUUUGUUUCUGCAAUUAUUCUGACUGCAAAUCUAAAUAUGUUUGUUGCUACAGCUUUGAUAUUUCUUCUUAGAAGCACUUGUUGUAAUAGAAUUGUAUUUUAAAAUAACUGCCCCUGACAUCUUUAUUUUACCUAAUAACUUCUUUUUUAAAAAAUUGCUUGUCAAAGAUUAUACCUAAAAUGCUAUUUAUUGUAACUUGUUUUACUUUUCAGGGCACAGAAGACUUCCUUUAAAUACACUUCUUUAAUAAUAAUAAAAACUAUUAGCAAUAUAUUUCCUAUUUCAAGUUGCUAUGAUCUCAAACAAUUAGUAACCAUUCUUUGUAAACACUCUGGCC